GUGUUUGGCACCUCGAUGUCGGCUCAUCUCAUCCUGGGGCUGAAGCAGGUCCCAAGGGUAUGGCUGUUCGCCAUUUAAAGAGGUACGCGAGCUGGGUUUAGAACGUCGUGAGACAGUUCGGUCCCUAUCUACCGUGGGCGCUGGAAAUUUGAGAGGAUCUGCUCCUAGUACGAGAGGACCAGAGUGGACGAACCUCUGGUGUACCGGUUGUGACGCCAGUCGCAUCGCCGGGUAGCUAUGUUCGGAAGGGAUAACCGCUGAAAGCAUCUAAGCGGGAAGCCUACCUCAAGAUAAGAUUUCCCUAGGACUUUAUGUCCUCUAAAGAGCCGUUCGAGACUAGGACGUUGAUAGGUUGGAUGUGGAAGCAUAGUGAUAUGUGAAGCUGACCAAUACUAAUUGCUCGUGAGGCUUGACUAUACAACACCCAAGCAGUUG
rnacentral:rRNA from 1 species